rnacentral:rRNA from 1 species
UGGGGAAUUGUUCGCAAUGGGCGCAAGCCUGACGACGCAACGCCGCGUGGAGGAUGAAGGUCUUCGGAUUGUAAACUCCUGUUGCCCGGGACGAAUAGCUCCGACCUAACACGUCGGAGUCUGACGGUACCGGGUGAGGAAGCCCCGGCUAACUCUGUGCCAGCAGCCGCGGUAAUACAGAGGGGGCAAGCGUUGUUCGGAAUUACUGGGCGUAAAGGGCGCGUAGGCGGCCUUCUAAGUCGAACGUGAAAUCCCCGGGCUCAACCCGGGAACUGCGUCCGAGACUGGAAGGCUUGAAUCCGGGAGAGGGAUGUGGAAUUCCAGGUGUAGCGGUGAAAUGCGUAGAUAUCUGGAGGAACAUCGGUGGCGAAGGCGGCAUCCUGGACCGGUAUUGACGCUGAGGCGCGAAAGCCAGGGGAGCAAACGGGAUUAGAUACCCCGGUAGUCCUGGCCCUAAACGAUGAAUGCUUGGUGUGGCGGGUAUCGAUCCCUGCCGUGCCGAAGCUAACGCAUUAAG